rnacentral:sRNA from 1 species
UAUUUGUAUGGGCCGUCUGUCAGUGGGUCUUUCAGUCCGCUGGACAGUCGGUUUGGUUACAUUUUUUGCGAGUUUGUUGCAGGCGGCUUUGUUUUGUUUCUGCUCUUUGCAUGUUGCGUCAUUUUCAUUUUGUACACUAUGAAGUUGUGUGUUUUACGCUUUUUGUCAACAUUUUGUUUUCAGAUGCUUUUGUGUACUUUUUCACAGCAUUCGCCGCUGCCUUUAAUGAAAUGUUUUGACUUCAACACCGCCCGACCAGCGAACGUACAUCAACACAAUGUGUAAAAAUCACUUGCGGAUCUUCGAAAUGAAUUUUAAAGAGCGGUUAAAGUAAAACGAGGAGGACUUCAACUCGCAAGCACUGCAACUUCAAUUUGACUUUCCACUCACGGCACGAUAAACGUAAUAAAGACGUUGUCCCUAAUAAU